CUUGUUGAGAACAGCAAAGCUUGACUCACAUGUUCUGUUUCAAUAGGCUCUUGUGGUUCCACUCUCCCAAUGCUGUAUUUGCAGCUGAAACUCCAUUCUCUUCUUUCAUCACUACUGUUAUGACUUGGAAAUGGCUCUCUUGGACUAUAAUCUAGACCUUAAUCUAAGAACCCAAAGCUCUUAUGCCUCCACAUACCUCUAAAGGAUCUGUGAGUUUCCUUGUUUAUCGUGUUCUUCAAAUUCAUCAUGUGAAGCCCUCAGAUUGUAACUGCAUUUGGAACUGGGACCUUCAAAGAGAUGAUUAAGUAAAAAUUGAGUUCACCAGAGUUAUCCCUAAUCCAGUAACUGAUAUACUUAAGGGAAGAGGAGCUCAGGACACAGCCAACACACAAGGAUGACCAUGUGAGCACAUGGGAAGGAUGUCAUCUAGAAGCCUGAGAGAAGCCUGAGGAGGAACCCACCUGCUUACACCUUGAUCUUGGCCUUCUUCAACCAGGAUAUGUCAACAUCAGCCAUCACAGCAGCUAAGGAGAGAGCAGCCUGAGGAGGAAUCUACUGCAUCUUAAUCUUGGCCUUCAGAAACCAGGAUAUGAUGAAUAAGUUUCUGUUAUUCAAUCCAUCCGGCCUGUGGUACCGCAUUCUGCCACGCUCAGCAGAGGAACAUACUAACCUUCAGGGCAUACCUGAUAGGAGGAUGAGAAGCCAACUGGAUCCUGGAAGCUCAUCACACUUGGGGGAACCAAAGCUUGCUGGUUUAAUCAUCAUUUACUGAGUAUC